CAUGGGUUAAUACCCUGUGUGGAUGACGGUACCGGAAUAAGAAGCACCGGCUAACUACGUGCCAGCAGCCGCGGUAAUACGUAGGGUGCGAGCGUUAAUCGGAAUUACUGGGCGUAAAGCGUGCGCAGGCGGUUUGUUAAGAUAGGCGUGAAAUCCCCGGGCUCAACCUGGGAACUGCGUUUAUGACUGGCAGGCUAGAGUAUGGCAGAGGGGGGUGGAAUUCCACGUGUAGCAGUGAAAUGCGUAGAGAUGUGGAGGAACACCGAUGGCGAAGGCAGCCCCCUGGGCCAAUACUGACGCUCAUGCACGAAAGCGUGGGUAGCAAACAGGAUUAGAUACCCUGGUAGUCCACGCCCUAAACGAUGUCAACUAGGUGUUGGGAGGGUAAAACCUUUUAGUACCGGAGCUAACGCGUGAAGUUGACCGCCUGGGGAGUACGGCCGCAAGGUUAAAACUCAAAGGAAUUGACGGGGACCCGCACAAGCGGUGGAUGAUGUGGAUUAAUUCGAUGCAACGCGAAAAACCUUACCUACCCUUGACAUGUCCGGAAG
rnacentral:rRNA from 1 species